CCUACGGAGGCUGCAGUGGGGAAUAUUGGACAAUGGGGGCAACCCUGAUCCAGCCAUGCCGCGUGUGUGAAGAAGGCCCUCGGGUUGUAAAGCACUUUCAGUGAGGAAGAACGCCUGGUGGUUAAUACCCAUCAGGAAAGACAUCACUCACAGAAGAAGCACCGGCUAACUCCGUGCCAGCAGCCGCGGUAAUACGGAGGGUGCGAGCGUUAAUCGGAAUUACUGGGCGUAAAGCGCGCGUAGGUGGCUUGAUAAGCCGGUUGUGAAAGCCCCGGGCUCAACCUGGGAACGGCAUCCGGAACUGUCAAGCUAGAGUGCAGGAGAGGAAGGUAGAAUUCCCGGUGUAGCGGUGAAAUGCGUAGAGAUCGGGAGGAAUACCAGUGGCGAAGGCGGCCUUCUGGACUGACACUGACACUGAGGUGCGAAAGCGUGGGUAGCAAACAGGAUUAGAUACCCCUGUAGUC
rnacentral:rRNA from 1 species